CGUAUUCUGUCUUCUUUAUUAAUCAGAUGAGCGCCUUAUGUUUACUCUCUGUAUUACAUCGGUCAUCCGAGGCUGUCUUUGAGUUUCAUUGUGUUUAACUAAAUGAACACAGCUGCUAACUGGUUAAACUCUAUCGGUCACGUGACGUGACGUGACGUGCCACAGACCUGGGAUCCGUUUUAUAUUCAUUUCAGGUUCAAAGAUGUAAGUUGUAUUUGUAGUAAAAUCAUGGUAACCAUGACACCUACAAAAGUAGGUAAAACCCAGUAAACAAGACAUUUACCAUGUUUUUUUUUUGUUUUUUUUUUUUUACCACAGUAACUGUAGCUUUACUGUAGUAUAGUAAUAGCACAUUAAUCACCAAAUUAACUAUAGUUGUACCACUGUAAUGGUAGUGUUUUAAUGUGCUUUUAUAUGACUUAUUUCACAGUAAUCACAUUUACUGUACCAUGCUUGUAAUACCUUUUUAAUGUAAAAAAAAAAAAAAAACAUUUUCCCCAUCUUGCAGUUCAAUUCAUAUUUGUUUAUAUCUUAAAUAUUUUGCUCACAGAUCACUAUUAACAUUCUGUAUAUAAUUCUGUUUUAUUUUCUUUCCCCUUGUAUUAAUUUUUUAGCUGAAAAGACGUAAAGUAAGCAGUCACCCCAGUGGUGUUUGUGGAGAGGUAUUCCUUCAGAAAUGGAGAAGACAGAAAGCUGCAGAGGCAGGAUUGUUUGCAGAUAAUGCUGUUCUUCUUUUUCAGAAGUUUUUGGGGAGCCAACCCUCACAAACCUUCCUAAAAACUAAAAGAGCUAUUACUGAGUCUCAGCGACUCUUGCCACGAUCAGCUCUUCCCAGAAGAGAAGGAAGACCAAGGAAAUGAUUUGCUCAGGAUGAGGAAUGAAGAUGGUCAUCUUGUGCUCAAGCAAACAGAAGUCCUCUGUUUUGUGUGUGUUGAAGCAAUGCUGUGUUACAGGACUUUAUGAUGAUCUCUCACAGGACUGGUCAUGUCAGCUGUAAUUAUUCUUUCCAAUGUUUUUAUAUUUAUUUUAUUUUAUUUGAUACAGCUAUAAUAAUUAUAGCA